UACAGAGGGUGCUAGCGUUGUUCGGAAUUAUUGGGCGUAAAGGGCGCGUAGGCGGCCCUGUGUGUCGGGUGUGAAAGCCCACCUCUUAAAGGUGGAAUUGCAUUCGAAACUACAGGGCUGGAGUGUCGGAGAGGAUGGCGGAAUUCCUGGUGUAGAGGUGAAAUUCGUAGAUAUCAGGAGGAACACCGGUGGCGAAGGCGGCCAUCUGGACGACAACUGACGCUAAGGCGCGAAAGCGUGGGGAUCAAACAGG
rnacentral:rRNA from 1 species